rnacentral:rRNA from 1 species
UACGUAGGCAGCGAGCGUUGUUCGGAGUUACUGGGCGUAAAGGGUGUGUAGGCGGUUCUUUAAGUUUGGUGUGAAAUCUCCCGGCUCAACCGGGAGGGUGCGCCGAAUACUGAGGAACUAGAGUACGGGAGAGGAAAGUGGAAUUCCUGGUGUAGCGGUGAAAUGCGUAGAUAUUAAGAGGAACACCGGUGGUGUAGACGGCUUUCUGGACCGUAACUGACGCUGAGACACGAAAGCGUGGGUAGCAAACAGG